ensembl:piRNA 21ur-10881 ncRNA
UUUGAUUUUGGGCUGAUAACA